GCUUACCACUUUGUGGUUCAUGACUGGGGUGAAGUCGUAACAAGGUAGCGCUAGGGGAACCUGGCGCUGGAUCACCUCCUUAAACGAUGAU
rnacentral:rRNA from 1 species